rnacentral:rRNA from 1 species
AGCUCACUGGUCUAAAUAAGGGUCUUUGCGCCUAAAAUGUAACGGGGCUAAAGCCAUACACCGAAGCUUUGGGUGCAUAGCAAUAUGCGCGGUAGCGGAGCGUUCUGUAGGCCUGUGAAGGGAGACCCGUGAGGGCUCCUGGAGGUAUCAGAAGUGCGAAUGCUGACAUGAGUAACGUAAGGAGUGUGAGAGACACUCCCGCCGAAAGACCAAGGGUUCCUGCUUAAAGUUAAUCUGAGCAGGGUUAGCCGGACCCUAAGGCGAGGCCGAAAGGCGUAGUCGAUGGGAAUCACGU